rnacentral:snRNA from 1 species
AAUGGCCUUAGUUUCUUAAGCGA